UACGUAGGGUGCAAGCGUUGUCCGGAAUUAUUGGGCGUAAAGAGCUCGUAGGCGGUCUGUCGCGUCUGCUGUGAAAACUCGGGGCUUAACCCCGGGCCUGCAGUGGGUACGGGCAGACUAGAGUGCGGUAGGGGAGACUGGAAUUCCUGGUGUAGCGGUGAAAUGCGCAGAUAUCAGGAGGAACACCGGUGGCGAAGGCGGUUCUCUGGGCAUGUUCUGACGCUGAGGAGCGAAAGUGUGGGGAGCGAACAGG
rnacentral:rRNA from 1 species